rnacentral:rRNA from 1 species
AUUGAACGCUGGCGGCAUGCUUUACACAUGCAAGUCGAACGGUAACAGGUUAAGCUGACGAGUGGCGAACGGGUGAGUAAUGCAUCGGAGCGUGCCCGGUCGUGGGGGAUAACGCAGCGAAAGCUGCGCUAAUACCGCAUACGAUCUGAGGAUGAAAGCGGGGGACCGUAAGGCCUCGCGCGAUCGGAGCGGCCGAUGUCAGAUUAGGUAGUUGGUGGGGUAAAGGCUCACCAAGCCAACAAUCUGUAGCUGGUCUGGGAGGACGACCAGCCACACUGGGACUGAGACACGGCCCAGACUCCUACGGGAGGCAGCAGUGGGGAAUUUUGGACAAUGGGCGAAAGCCUGAUCCAGCAAUGCCGCGUGCAGGAAGAAGGCCUUCGGGUUGUAAACCGCUUUUGUACGGAGCGAAAAGGUCUCCUCUAAUACAGGGGGCUCAUGACGGUACCGUAAGAAUAAGCACCGGCUAACUACGUGCCAGCCGCCGCCGUAA